rnacentral:rRNA from 1 species
CCUACGGGCGGCUGCAGUGGGGAAUAUUGCACAAUGGGCGCAAGCCUGAUGCAGCCAUGCCGCGUGUGUGAAGAAGGCCUUCGGGUUGUAAAGCACUUUCAGCGGGGAGGAAGGCGUUAAGGUUAAUAACCUUGGCGAUUGACGUUACCCGCAGAAGAAGCACCGGCUAACUCCAUGCCAGCAGCCGCGGUAAUACGGAGGGUGCAAGCGUUAAUCGGAAUUACUGGGCGUAAAGCGCACGCGGGCGGUCUGUCAAGUCGGAUGUGAAAUCCCCGGGCUCAACCUGGGAACUGCAUUCGAAACUGGCAGGCUAGAGUCUUGUAGAGGGGGGUAGAAUUCCAGGUGUAGCGGUGAAAUGCGUAGAGAUCUGGAGGAAUACCGGUGGCGAAGGCGGCCCCCUGGACAAAGACUGACGCUCAGGUGCGAAAGCGUGGGGAGCAAACAGGAUUAGAUACCCCGGUAGUC